UGCUCGAGUGGCGAACGGGUGAGUAACACGUGAGUAACCUGCCCUUGACCUUGGGAUAACUUCAGGAAACUGGGGCUAAUACCGGAUGGGAGCUCCUGCUGCAUGGUGGGGGUUUGAAAGUUUCGGCGGUUGGGGAUGGACUCGCGGCUUAUCAGCUUGUUGGUGGGGUAGUUGCCUACCAAGGCUUUGACGGGUAGCCGGCCUGAGAGGGUGACCGGCCACAUUGGGACUGAGAUACGGCCCAG
rnacentral:rRNA from 1 species